UACGUAGGGGGCGAGCGUUGUCCGGAAUUACUGGGCGUAAAGGGUGCGUAGGCGGUUAAUUAAGUUGGAUGUGAAAUUCCCGGGCUUAACUUGGGAGCUGCAUUCAAAACUGGUUAACUAGAGUUCAGGAGAGGGAAGCGGAAUUCCUAGUGUAGCGGUGAAAUGCGUAGAUAUUAGGAGGAACACCGGUGGCGAAGGCGGCUUUCUGGACUGACACUGACGCUGAGGCACGAAAGCGUGGGGAGCAAACAGGAUUAGAUACC
rnacentral:rRNA from 1 species